AGAGUUUGAUCAUGGCUCAGAACGAACGCUGGCGGCAGGCCUAACACAUGCAAGUCGAGCGCGCCCUUCGGGGUGAGCGGCGGACGGGUGAGUAACGCGUGGGAACGUGCCCUCUUCUGCGGAAUAGCCACUGGAAACGGUGAGUAAUACCGCAUACGCCCUUUUGGGGAAAGAUUUAUCGGAGGAGGAUCGGCCCGCGUUGGAUUAGGUAGUUGGUGGGGUAAUGGCCUACCAAGCCGACGAUCCAUAGCUGGUUUUAGAGGAUGAUCAGCCACACUGGGACUGAGACACGGCCCAGACUCCUACGGGAGGCAGCAGUGGGGAAUCUUAGACAAUGGGCGCAAGCCUGAUCUAGCCAUGCCGCGUGAGUGACGAAGGCCCUAGGGUCGUAAAGCUCUUUCGCCUGUGAAGAUAAUGACGGUAGCAGGUAAAGAAACCCCGGCUAACUCCGUGCCAGCAGCCGCGGUAAUACGGAGGGGGUUAGCGUUGUUCGGAAUUACUGGGCGUAAAGCGCACGUAGGCGGAUUGGAAAGUUGGGGGUGAAAUCCCGGGGCUCAACCCCGGAACUGCCUCCAAAGCUUCCAGUCUGGAGUUCGAGAGAGGUGAGUGGAAUUCCGAGUGUAGAGGUGAAAUUCGUAGAUAUUCGGAGGAACACCAGUGGCGAAGGCGGCUCACUGGCUCGAUACUGACGCUGAGGUGCGAAAGUGUGGGGAGCAAACAGGAUUAGAUACCCUGGUAGUC
rnacentral:rRNA from 1 species